CAUAGCAAGAUGAUCUCCCAGGCUCAGCUCAUCUGGCUGUUAGUGCUCUGGAUCCAAGACUCCAGUGGGCAGAUUGUGCUGACUCAGACUCCAGAAUCCCUGGCAGUGUCUCUAGGAGACAGAGUCACCAUCAACUGUAAAGCCAGUUCCAGCACUGGCAACCAUUUAACCUGGUACCAACAGAGAUCAGGACAAGCUCCUAAACUUCUUAUUUAUCAUGGCUUUAACCUCGCCUCUGGAGUCCCAGCCCGGUUUAGUGGCAGUCAGUCUGGGAGUGGCUACACCGAUUACACUCUCACUAUCAGCAGCGCAGAAGCUGAAGAUGCUGGAGAUUACUAUUGUCAGUACUGUUAUAGCUCCCCUCUCACAGUGAUACAGACCCAUACAAAAACCUCCCUGCCCUGUUUGGUUUCAGUUUCUCUCAUCCAGGUAUCAGUGGAAAUUGGGGUAAAGCACAAACUUCUCAUCUAUACUGCAUCUGUCAAUCCUGAGGAUGCUCCAGACCAAAUCAGUAGAACUGGGAAUGGCUACAUUGACCAGAUUCUCAGCAUCCGUGGGUCUGAAGCAGAUGAUGCUGGAGGUUAUUACAGUCAACAAGAUGAAGGACCAUCAGUACAAAAGCCUUCUCAUUUGAUAGAGUUUCUUUCACUCCUGUCACAGAUGGAGCUUUAUGGCUAUGACACUGGAACCAGAGAGCUGUGA